rnacentral:tRNA from 1 species
GUAAACAUAGUUUAACAAAAACACUAGAUUGUGGAUCUAGUAAUAAGGGCCGAUGGCCCUUUGUAUACC